UGGUUCAGGAAGAGACUUAUUUUUUAAAUUUAGAACCUUUGGGAAGGAUGAGCUAUCCAUGACCACAGUAAAAUGGUGGCCAAUGAGAUGGAAUUUGAAUCUCUUUAUCCCAUUUUUGACAGCUAAUAUUUCUUUGUAGACCGAAUGGUAGUGCUUCUAAGGCUCUGAGAAUUCUCCACUAGCAUGUCCGUAGAUAUGUUUUUCUCCUUGUAUCUCUUCGAUGGGAACCGCACCCCAGUGGGUGUCACUAGCA
rnacentral:misc_RNA from 1 species